rnacentral:misc_RNA from 1 species
UUCGGCCUCGGAGCGAGCAAAAUAUCUCCCGCUCCGCUCCCAUACAGGUCUUUCUCCACUCAAAUUUUCUUCCGAAUCACUCAUCUUAAUUUCCCGCUGUCUUUCUUGGAGACCAAACACAACUCAGAACUCAGAGUUUCCGUCGUGUUAUCAUGAGUUUGCUUGUAAACCACUGUGUUAGCUGUUGCAUAAAUAGACACAGAACCAAUCAUGGGAGAGAUAAGGUCCCAAUCAAAAUGAGUAACAAAUCUUCCACGAAUGACAAUCUUCGUGAUGAUAUCGUAUCGUUAUCGAAGAAUGACGGCUUUCGAACAAAGACAAUAGCAAGUUCCAUUGCAGCUGCAAAUUUGGUUGCAAUAGAUGCGGCAAAGGCUGUAAUGACGGAUAAAUUAUUGGAAGAAACUGCUUCUAUCUAUACUUUGGCUGAUGGAAGCAUUGGUGAUUGGUUUGGAGGCUGCUUAUAUUCAGCCGGACAGCAGGCUAAUGAAGCUGUUCAGGACCAGUUAUCAGCCCUUAGUUUCACCAGUUUGGCAGUUAUUUUUGGGGCAGGGCUUGUGACUAGCCUUUCACCAUGUACACUGAGUGUUCUACCAUUGACCCUUGGUUACAUUGGAGCAUUUGGCUCUGGGAAAAGUAGGGCAGAGGUUGUUUCAGAUUCUAUUGCAUUUUCUUUAGGAUUGGCUACGACACUAGCUCUUCUUGGCAUAGCAGCGUCAUUUGCUGGAAAGGCAUAUGGACAGAUAGGACAAGGAUUACCUUUGGCUGCUUCUGGUUUGGCUAUUAUUAUGGGUCUAAAUCUCCUUGAGAUAAUUGAAUUUCAACUGCCUUCCUUUUUUAACAAUUUUGACCCCCGUGCUGCUGCUGCUAAUUUUCCAUCAAGUGUGCAAGCAUAUUUAGCUGGGCUUACUUUUGCAUUAGCUGCCUCUCCUUGCAGCACGCCUGUGCUUGCCACUUUACUGGGAUUUGUAGCUGCAAGUAAGGAUCCAGUGGUAGGGGGCAGCUUACUUUUGACGUACACUACUGGCUAUGUUGCUCCUCUGCUUCUUGCUGCUUCUUUUGCUGGAGCAUUGCAGGUAUUUGGUUUACAUUGGGGGAUAUAGUUUUAUCAUUUUGUUUAGCCAAGAGUAUGAAAAAUUGCUUCCACUACGUUCUGGACUUGAACGUUGCAUGAAUCUACUGGUUGCUAGGACUGGGCCUGAUGUGCAAUAGUCAUAGUCUAAUUUGAUGUGGGAGUAAAAUGUAAUGUGUCAAUACCCUUGGUGAUAACAAUUAGCCUAAUUAUGGCUAUAUGUAAGUAAAGAGAGUCCAAUUAAUCUAUUACCUUGUCUCAAUAUUCUUUUUAAUCUUCUCAAAGUUUAACCUUUAAGACAUUUGCAGAGCCUGCUGUCAUUCCGCAAGUUUUCAGCAUGGAUCAAUCCAAUGAGUGGUGCACUUCUCCUAGGAGGGGGUGUAUAUACUUUCUUGGAUAGGCUCUUCCCAGCCACAAUGGCUAUGUAAAUGUCCCAACCUGCUGUUCUUGAGGAUUUACUUCACAAUGUACAGAGAAAAGAUUAAUGGAUAUAAAGCAGUAUAAUUAAGAUCACUGCGGGAAGUCUUCCCUGUUCUACACUUGGUUAUAUAGACCUUUCAUAUUAUACCAGAAUAUUUUAUAGGUUUCUCGUAAUAGUAAUUUAAUGUUCUGCGACCCAUUUCAGACUGACUUAGCCUCUAGGUAUGAGCAUGUAUUUUUUAUGCUAUCUGAUGUUGCUUGAGGUUUCGGGUCAAUGAAUGAUUCCGGUAAGAAAGCAUGUGAGGCCAAUGGCUUGAGCAGGGCCAAUUUAACGCUUAAGUCAGUAAAUGCUGAUAAGGGAAAGCAAAUACUGAAAGAAAUAUAUGUGUAGAAUUGCGUGCCUUAAGUAUUAUUGUGAACCAUAUUUAUGGGAUAAAGUAUAGUACACUUUCUGUCUUAAU